rnacentral:lncRNA from 1 species
CCCACAGAGUUUGUGUCUUUUACAUGCAUACAUCUGCAUCAUGAGGUCUCUUAGGGACCAAAAUUUGUCUCAUUACUGUUAUUUAAGCCCAUUCUACCGCGUCAAGAUGAAGAUUUCUAAAAGCAUACAUCUGCAUCAUGAGGUCUCUUAGGGACCAAAAUUUGUCUCAUUACUGUUAUUUAAGCCCAUUCUACCGCGUCAAGAUGAAGAUUUCUAAACUUCACUUCUCCGGGUAGAAUGACCUUAAAUAGGGGCAUUUGUAAGACCCCAAUUUUGUCGCUAAGAUCCCUCGUGGCAUCAUAUCAUAUCAUACCAUUGCCUCAAGGAUCAUUGUGCACCUUUGC